rnacentral:lncRNA from 1 species
AUCAAUGCAAGAAAUCAUCCUACAUGAAAAAGGAAGCUCAAAAUUUUGUUUAUGUAAAAACUUUUUUAAAUUACUUGAGUUUUGUUAACAUUUAUCCUUUUACAUAGGGUUGCUAAAGUUAGCGAAUAAAUUAUAGGAUACCCAGUUAAAAUUUAAUUUCAGGUAAACAACAAAUAGAUUUUUAGUAUAAGUAGGUCCCAUGAAAUGUUUAUGACAUAUAUAUACUAAAAACUCAUUCAUUAUUUAAUCUAAAAUUUAUAUUUAGCUUGGCAUCCUAUAUUUUGUCUGGCAACCCUCCUUUUAAGAAAAUCUAAUAAUCCAUAUUUACCUGAUAGGUAAAUUAGAAUACUGAUUCUUUUUUGAAUGAAAAUAAUGUAUUUUUUUAAAUUUUUCUAACUUUAGUUCCUCUAAUAGAAAUUAAUUUAGAUAACUAAGGAACCAUAGGAAUUUAAAAGCUGACCUAUCAGAAAUAACUUCAGCUAUAUUACAUUAAAAAUGAAGAGAUGGAAUCUGAAAUAGGAAAGUAAGAUUUAUACCCAUUAUUCAGCCAAAAUCUGUUUUUCUUUAACUUCUACCCAUUGUUCCUAAGUCUGCCCUCUGGGGGCUGUAGAAAAUAAUGAAGAUGAUGUUAUUAAUGAUAACCAGUGCUUGCUGUAACCAGUUAUGUGCAUUAUUUUAUUGGAUUUAAUUUGUUUACUCUUUAUAACAGCAUGUGAGGGAGGUGCUUUUCUGAUUUCCAUUCUACAAAAUAAGAAACUAAAGCACAGAGUAGUUGAUUAGCUUAACCAUAACCACAUCUCUUUGUCAACUCUUAAAGUACCAGAGCUUUCAUAGUUUUAAAGUUCCCAAUUCCUUCUACCAUUUCUUUUAGUACAGGGUCUCUAGACCCUUUCCUGUCCUCAUUCAACUCUCAGCUUGUUGUGGCUUGUCAGUGCCCUGAAAUAUGUUAUGGCCAAAAUUUAAAAGUAUACUUCAUAGAUCAUAUAAUUUACAAGUAGAGUACAGCAGGAUUUUUAAUGGCCUUGGUACUAAAGUUAUAUUGCCAAUAGUGACCCAUGGAUUAGCUGAGUUUUGUUUCGUUCUAGUUUUUGAAUGGGGAAUGUACUUUUACAUAAUACAGUUGGCUCAGGUUGACCUUUUAGUCAGGUGAAACUUCCAGGUUCUUAUCUGUACUAAAUGCAGACGUUCCUAUGCCUCUGCUUUCUUCCCAGUUGGCUUGAGUAGAUGUCCAAGGGAUUGACAUCAGCAUGUCUAUAUUGUUUGACCAUUUCAGCUUUGGGGAAGAAGAAGGAGCCCAGCUAUGUUGUGUUUUUUGCUAGUAUGAUGUUGGGCUAACUUUUAUAGCAUUUUUCCUUUUUGGAUAACUUAAUUUACCACGUAAUUGUCCAUGCUGGGGUGGAGCAAAGAUUUAUCCAAAAGGUUACUUUUAUUAGAAAAGUGUACUGCUUUAGGGUUUUGAAUUUCUGACUACUGGCUGACAGUAACCUUAUUUGCUGAGUAUCAGUUGUCGUUCAGUUACUCUUUCCCUGUCUCAUUGGCUUUUCUCUCCCUGUUUCCCAUUUUGACUUUAUACUGAAUAAAAUCAAACGUCUAAGUACUCUACUUACUAUAUACACCUUGCCAUUUAUAUGUAACAAGUCUCUUGCAGGAAAGUGUUCAAAUGAUGCGAUCUUUGUUUUAUGCUAUUGGAAAAUAUACUUGUCAACCUUAAGAAAUAGUAUAUUCAGUCAACGCUUCAUUAAAUGUAGUAUUCUUUCCUGAAAAAUAAAACCCAGUGCUCUGUUUAGUUCUUACCUACAUUAUAGUCUGCAAAUAAGACAUAUGACAAAUUGGUUGUGAUGAUUCCUCUAUGAACUGUCCUCUUCAUUACCAUCAGUGUGGCACCAUCCAAAGCAGGGAAUUGCAUGUGAGGCUCCCAAUAGCUCUCUGUUGCCUGCAGAAAACAUUUCUUAGCACCAGCAAAAAGUCCCUCCUCCAGUCUUGCCUCUCUUUCCCUGCAAAAAUUAUUUUCAUGAGCAGGCUCUGCAUUUUAUAUGUUGUUGGUACUUUCUCCUGGGUGAAUACCUUCUUUUAAGUGCCUGGCUCAACUAUUAGGUCUUCAGUGUCUUUCCCUGACCCCACUGUUAUAUUUUUCCACAAUCAGUGUUUCC